CGUAGCUGCAGAAGGAUUUAGUGACACGUGUCCCUGAGCGCAAGGCGUCUUCAUUGGUCUGGCUGGUUGUAUCAGUCAUGAAGACAGCCAUUAGGCUCAGCAAGCAAGGAAGUGGCAGAUGGUUUGUGGGCAAUGGUGGCACAUCACCGAUGAAGGAGUAUCAGUGUAAGGAAUAUCUUGAAUGGUAAUUGCAGCAAUCUUCUUGAAAAAAAUCAGAAUAAAUCUUGCCAGAUCUCCAUGACAUCAUAGACAAUAUUGGCUUGAGCCACAGUUCUGCUUUCUCAGUUGUUGCAUUUAGCUCAUUAAUGUUAGCCAUUGCAUUUGCUGUGUUAAAAUAAUUAAAACAGUGCACAUCUAUAAAGUGAGCAAAAUCCUCUCCUAUGAUCAGUGGCAUUCUCUUUCAAGGGAUUAUUUAAACCUACCAGAUUGCCCAAGCACAUGGAUUUGAUAUUGGGAAUGUGAGUAUUAGAUAUGAACUUGUCUCAGAUGGACAUUCCACUGUAAUCCAAUCUCUUCUGUCAAUGUGCAUGGAAGGCCUUAAAAUUGGACUCAGCCCAAUACAUCUCUGACACAUCCCUCCCCACCAUCGGAAGUAUCUACAUGAGACGUUGCCUGAGGAAGGCUACAUCUAUCAUCAAACAUCCCCACCAUCCGACCAUGCCAUCUUCUUGCAGCCACCAUCAAGCAGGAGGUACAGAAGCCUGAAGUCCCACCCCACCAGUUUCAAGAAUAGCUACUUCCCUUCAACCAUUUGGUUCUUGAACCAACCUGCAUAACCCUAAUCACUACCUCAGUAAAUCAACACUAUGACCACUUUACACUCAAUGGACUUUGUUUUUUUGUUUUCUGUUCUUUCUUGUAUAAAAUUUGUAUAAUUUAUGUUUAAUUUAUAUUUUUCUUGUGAAUGUGCCUCUGAUGCUAUGUGCCUGUGAUGCUGC